rnacentral:rRNA from 1 species
AACGUAGGACGCAAGCGUUAUCCGGAGUUAUUGGGCGUAAAGAGCGUGUAGGCGGCCUUACAGGUCAGCUGUGAAAACUCGAGGCUCAACCUCGAGAGGUCGGUUGAAACCGUAAGGCUAGAGUCCGGAAAAGGAGAGUGGAAUUCCCGGUGUAGCGGUGAAAUGCGCAGAUAUCGGGAAGAACACCCGUGGCGAAGGCGGCUCUCUGGGACGGUACUGACGCUGAGACGCGAAAGCGUGGGGAGCGAACAGG